AUAGUGAUAGUCUUUGGUUGCCAUGGAAAUAUGAACUCACCUUUCCUGAUAUGUAUUGUGGUUCUUUUUACCAUAUUAAGCUUAAUAGAAAACUCACAUAUCUUGUGAUAUUUUUAACCAUGUAUGCAUUUUAAAGUAUCCGCUGGGCUGCAGUGGUCGUGGGUUAGCAUAGAAUUCUGCAUCUCAGUUUGUGCAUUGAUAUGACCCAGUGUUUGUUUUAAGAAGGCACAACAUUCAGUGUGUCUACACUUUCUCCAUUUUAUCUGGGUAUUAGAGAUUAUACAUGUUUGCUUGCAUGUGACAGCUCUUGCGUUUUUCCAGAGUGAUUCCAAUUUAAUUCUGUUCCUCUGUUAAAUCUCUGUUGAUUUAAAUACUGAAAAUAAAUACUGAAAAUGUGAUCUGGCUUAUUGUAUCUUAAAGACCACAAGAGAUUCAGGCAUCCACUAUUUUUGUUGUUGUUUUUCUCCUUUCUAUCAGUUUGUUCUACUAUUUAAGAAUUGUUCAAGUUAGUACAACUGUAAAGGUUGAGACAAUGACACUCUGAGGGGUGAAUGCUAUUGUUUAGUGGACACAUGACAGGGACAGGGGAUUGUCUGGAGCCUUAGUCUUUUGCCUUAGUCUUUAAAAUACAGAAAUAUUUCAAAUGUCAUAUAAUGCAGGGAAUUCCAGUAGAGUAUAGAGAAUCACAUGAAUCCUUCAUAUUAUGUGUGAUUCUAGUGCCACUCCCAGUAUAUGGUGACCAUGCUGAUGAGGAUACAUAUUUUUUAAAGUAUGGAAGUUACAUUAGAGGGUUCAGUUAGGUAAAUGUUCUGACGAGUUUACAUAUCCAAGAGUUAGAUAUAGUCAUUACUACUCCCAAGCAAAAUAGUAAUGUCUUCACCUUGACCCAUGCCUUGAUAUGCACCCACAUAUUUGGAUAACAGGAGAUAUGGAAUCAAAUCUCUACUUCCUUUGCUUCCAUUCACCAGCAGUUUCUCAAUUCCCACAGGAGUGAAGCAGGGCUUCAUUUUCAACCGAAGAUCCUCUUAUACUCUUGCCUCUCCAUGGGCUGCUCUUCUGUCUGCUCUCUUUCUCAUUUCAUUCCAUUAAUGUUAUCCAACUGUUUUGCAACACAUCGUUAAGACUGAAAGGUCAGCAGGCUCCACUGCAUGAUCUUUAAAAGGUUGGUAAUGUCAAGACGAAUGCAGCCUCUUAAAUCUGUUUCUAAAGGCCAGAAUCAUCCGUGCAUUUUUUGGAGAGGGAUAAUGACAUCAAAAUUAUUACCAAAACCCUGUCCCUGUGAUCACUGGGGUCAACCAGGAUUUACUACUUAGUAGAUGGCAGCUUCUGCUGCCCAAAGCCUAUGGAUUAGCUAUGUAUCUGGAAGACUCAAUUUUAAGGGGGGAAAGAUCAAACCCUUCCUCUGUACUCCAACAAAACUGCAUGCACACCACACAAAUGAGCAGGUGCCUCUACUUGACAUAAAAUCUCGAGACUUACCAAGAAGUCUUUUUCUCUAAGAGUAUAAAUAUAUGGUAUGAGAUACUUACACGUUAUUUAUGACCUAAUAAAUUAUAGAAUAGGUCUGCUUUUUAGUUCAGUCACAUGUUUUUUGUUUUUGUUUGUUUGUUUGGAUUUGGAUUUUAAAUGGCUCCAAAGUUGUGAGUUUCUUAUAAUAUUGGCAAUUGGGGUCCAGUUUGCUUGCCAUAGAAAACUCAGGUUCAAGGUGAUUGUCAUUCCACUGAGGCUCUUGUAUGAAUUCAUACUGGUCCUUGUUGGUCUCCUAAGGCAAGGAUAUGGAAGUGUUAGGUCUCUGGUAUUUCACAGAUAAUAAACAACUAUAGCCUUGGUAUGUUGAGCAACUUAGGCAGUGCUAUAUGGUUAGAGACAGUUAUUUUUGUUUGGGUCUCAAACUCAGGUCCCUCCAUGUACUAGGUAAACACUCUACCACUGAGCUACAACCCCACCUGGUUUGGGAUUUUAAGAAACUCUGUGUCAAGUUUCAGCAAGAUUCCUGCCAAGUUCAGGUACUGUUUUAAACUUCAGAAUAGCACUAAAAUCCUGUUGUAAGACAGUUAGAUUUGCUAAUCAAAACUGCUUCUUAAAAGCAUGACAUCGUUGAGAUAAUUCAGCUAGCAAAAGGGAACAAUGGUAGAUGCCUUAGAACAGAUAGUGACAGGAUUAGGGUGAGAAUGGAGAAUAAGAUUCUUCAUGUUUGGAGAAACAAUGAGUUUAGAGGUGACUCAAAGACCAAUGCCAUCCUGACUUACGUGCGUGUUGGUGGAAUACCUCAUGGUGAAGCAGAAUCCCCACCUACGUUUGACUUCCUAACUCCAUCACUCCGCUCUACAUAACCAAACGCCACUUUGGAUUUCUAAGGCUUUUCUUGCCUUCACUGAGACAAGUUCACUCACAAAGAUAGUGAACUUAUACUAGAGUCCAUAUCUUCCAAAAAACAAACGAACAAACAAAUGGUUAUUGCCCUCUCAUUUUAAAAUAUAAUUUUCUUCACAAUAUAUACAUAUUUACUUAUGUAGCCAUACCGUAUAUUUUUCUUUCUACACCAAAACCAUCAAGUACUUUCUAGCCUGGUUUGUAGUUCCCCCUGCUUUUACUUAUUCUCAGCCCUACCGGUGUGGACUCUACCUCUUCCCUGUGAGCAUCACCUGCCUCUUUAUCACAGCUUGAAAGCACCCGUCAAAACCAUUGUUUUGAAACAGUUGUCUAUUUGCAUGCUGCACAGGCUCAUAGUUUAUGUGUGCUUCACUUCCCUACAAUCAAAAAUAUUUUAAAAUAAACGAGGAAGAGAAAAGUAUACGUGAACAGAACUGGCAAUGCUUUGAUUAAAUCUAUUCCCACCAAGAUGUCUUAUCCAUUUGGUUUAAAUUCUCGUUAGAUUUUUAAAAUUACACUCUUAAAAAUGAGUGUAUUUGAAGC
rnacentral:lncRNA from 1 species